GGGCCCGUAGCUCAGCUGGUUAGAGCGGCAACGGUGCAGGUCUUAUAUGACACGCUCUCGCAAAGAAAAGUGUCUUGGACAGCUGUAGGUCACGAGUUCGAUCCCAUAUGGUUACAUGUGCAGCUUCGCUGCACAAUUUUGCAACGCCUGGCGUUGCAAAUCACCCCAAAAGAAAAUAUGGUGGAACAAAUCUCGUCGGGCCCA
rnacentral:tRNA from 1 species